GUCCAAAAUCCACCAAAGAAAGUGACCUCUGAGAAAGUGAGCCGGAAAGAUGCUCAGCCUUUGACAGACGCUGGCUCUGAGACCCCGACUGCCCGACGGCUCUACACCGCCAGCGGGCCUCCCGAGGGCUACGUCCCCUGUUGGCCGGAGCCCAGCAGCUGUGGGAGCCCCGAGAACGCCUCCAGCGGGGACAACACAGAAGAGCAUAUGCCAGAGCAAGCCCCAAGCACAGCCUUGCAGCUGCAGACCCGAUGGAGCCUCCAGGGCCCUUAGGAGCCAGAGGCUGGGAGAAGCAAGGAUGGGACCCCUCUUUCUCUGACCCUCCAAGGUCAGCGUGGGAACAUGGCACACAAGAAGGAAGAGCCUUUGAGCUUUUUCGGUUGCAGUUUUAAGCACAGAGAUCAGGAUCCUCAUGACCAGCCAAAGAGAAAAAGAAUUAGGAAGCAUAAAUCAAAGAAAAAAUUUAAAAAUCCCAAUAAUGUUCUUAUAGAACAAGCAGAAUUAGAGAAACAGCGGAGUCUGUUACAGGAGAAAUCUCAGCAACAGCACACAGAUGGCACCACAAUAAGCAAAAAUAAAAAAAGGAAACUGAAAAAGAAACAGCAAAUUAAAAGGAAGAAAGCAGCCGGCUUGGCAGCAAAGGCUGCUGGUGUCAGUUUCAUGUACCAGCCGGAGGACAGC
rnacentral:sRNA from 1 species